GACGGAGGAUGCAAGCGUUAUCCGGAAUUAUUGGGCGUAAAGCGUCCGCAGGUGGCGAUUUAAGUCUGCUGUCAAAGACCACAGCUUAACUGUGGGCAGGCAGUGGAAACUGGAUUGCUAGAGUGCGGCAGGGGUAGAGGGAAUUCCCAGUGUAGCGGUGAAAUGCGUAGAUAUUGGGAAGAACACCAGUGGCGAAGGCGCUCUACUGGGCCGCAACUGACACUCAUGGACGAAAGCUAGGGGAGCGAAUGGG
rnacentral:rRNA from 1 species